rnacentral:rRNA from 1 species
GAUGAACGCUGACAGAAUGCUUAACACAUGCAAGUCAACUUGAAUUUGGGUUUUUAACUUAGGUUUGGGUGGCGGACGGGUGAGUAACGCGUAAAGAACUUGCCUCACAGCUAGGGACAACAUUUGGAAACGAAUGCUAAUACCUAAUAUUAUGAUAAUAGGGCAUCCUAUAAUUAUGAAAGCUAUAAGCGCUGUGAGAGAGCUUUGCGUCCCAUUAGCUAGUUGGAGAGGUAACGGCUCACCAAGGCGACGAUGGGUAGCCGGCCUGAGAGGGUGAUCGGCCACAAGGGGACUGAGACACGGCCCUUACUCCUACGGGAGGCAGCAGUGGGGAAUAUUGGACAAUGGACCGAGAGUCUGAUCCAGCAAUUCUGUGUGUACGAUGAAGUUUUUCGGAAUGUAAAGUGCUUUCAGUUGGGAAGAAACAAAUGACGGUACCAACAGAAGAAGUGACGGCUAAAUACGUG